UUCUUAACCUUUUUGUGUCAUGGUUAUCGAAAUAUUCUUAAAGUUCAUGCACCAUAGGUUAAGAACCCU
ensembl:miRNA mdo-mir-12384 mdo-mir-12384